GAUGAACGCUGGCGGCAGGCUUAAUACAUGCAAGUCGAACGGUAACAUGUCGGAGCAAUCUGAUGAUGACGAGUGGCGCACGGGUGCGUAACGCGUAUGCAACCUACCCAUAACCGGAACAUAACGUUGAGAAAUCGGCGCUAAUAUUCCAUGUGUAUAUUUUGUGGCAUCAUAGAAUAUAUAAAGAUUAAUUGGUUAUGGAUGGGCAUGCGUAUCAUUAGCUAGUUGGUGGGGUAACGGCCUACCAAGGCUGCGAUGAUUAGGGGUUCUGAGAGGAUAACCCCCCACACUGGAACUGAGACACGGUCCAGACUCCUACGGGAGGCAGCAGUAGGGAAUAUUGGGCAAUGGAGGCAACUCUGACCCAGCCAUGCCGCGUGAAGGAAGACGGUCCUAUGGAUUGUAAACUUCUUUUAUCAUAGGACGUAACCGGAAGGGCGUCGUCCUCGCCUGACUAAGUAUAGUAGAUAGAAAGUAAGCUACG
rnacentral:rRNA from 1 species